CGUGUAAAACGGUCUAAGGUUACCUUGUACUAUCUCCAGCUGCUCUGACUCCGGUAACGGCACGCUGAGCCUAGAAAAAUAAUUCCGCAUUGUGCUUAAGUACUUUAUGAUGGAUUCAUCAGCACCUUGUGUCCGCGACCGCACCUCCUGUAAUAAACGCCGAUUAUAAUCGAAUGGCAGGAACUCCUCAUACAAACGAGCCUUAACCUCUUUCCAACUCGAGACCUCCUCCUUGACACCCCGAAACCAAAACAAGGCGUCACCGCUAAAAAUUUCUGCGACGGAAUUAAAUAACGUCUCCUCAGAGAUACCUCGAGAAUUGCAAAGCUCCUCCAGUCGCUGCACGAAUGCUUGCACACUAUCACUGCCGUUAAAGACGAGGUUCAGUUUUUGGAUCUGUGUGUGGUCCACCUUAGGACAUGGCUCUAUACACCCUACGACAGGGAUAUCCUGUUUCUUUUCCUGCUCCUGAUAAGCUUUAGAAAUGUACCUCAGUUCGCUGUCCCUAGAUUCGAGUUGUAAGAGCAAGUCCCCGAGCAUACAAGUCUCCUCCUUACUGACGGCAUUUAUACGACCUAAGCGGUGAUAUAAAUGGUUAGCCAAUGAUUCGCAACGCUUGAUGUGUUUUAACUGCAAAUUUGGUUUUGAAAGUGAGCUCUGCAAGUCUUUAAUUUUGUUUUUAACUUUUUCUAACUCUGAGGUAACAUCUCCCUCAAAGUAAAUAACCUCGUCCGAAGGCACCCGCGUAGCUAAUUCUGUUAAUUGUAAUCUUAAUUGGUCCGCAGUGGCCUCAGGUUUGACACCUCGGACUGUGGCCUCGUAUGUCAAUUCAUCUUUUAAUAAAAGGUUGAAACAUAUCGGACGUUCCCCCAUGAUGUUACAAAAAUAUGGAUCUAAUCCCUAAGGUAGCACACGUUCAAAUCAAUUUGUGACCCCAGGCCGUAUCAACGUUCAAUGUAAAGGUCGAACAAUAAACACCAAUAUAAAAAUAAAUGCUUUCCCAUUAAAGUGUGUUUCAGUAAGUCUAAGUACAAUAUUAAACUUAAGUAAAGUUAAGUUAUAACUGACAGUUAAAUGAUGUGUAAAACAAUAUAUUAACUCAUAAAAGGUUGACCUUGUAAAAAAAUUUGGUUAUUUUUACAAAAAAUUGAUAAAACAAAACUGUAAUUAUUAAAAGUUGAGUGUUUAAGUUAAACAGACAAUAACAAUGUCUCAGCAAAAUUGUUUAAAAACAAUCACCAACUGUUCAAUAUUUAAUUGUUCAAUAAUUAACUAAAUAAAAUUCCAGCAGAAGGUUUUCCUUUGAAUAACGUUUGGAAUAAGAGGUUAUACAAAUUUAACGCAAUCUCAACAAAAAAAAAUAAGGCAUGUUCAGUCAAUAAAAUAAAAUGUCUGAAAUAAGAGGUUAAAAUUUUUAACACAAUAUUCACACAAAAAAAAUACAGCCUUAUUAAGUUAAUAAAUUAAAAAAAAAAAACCUUCUGCAGUGAUUCUCUGUCAGCACGUCACGAUGACACACGCAAAACACACACAAGAAAUUAUAAGACUAAUUAAUUUCUAAUUACCCCCCCCGGGUGGACUCAGGCCUGUCUAAGCGAUAGAUUAGACUAUAAGCUAACGGAUUAAACUCUGCUCGGGCGCCAAAUGUAAGCCUAUUUUCCACUGUGUAGUGGGUAGUGAAAUUACAAUGAGGUGGAAAAUAAAAAUAUCAGAAUGUGGUACAGUUAUUAAUAUUUAUUUAUCAAAACCCUGCCUCACACAAUAUUUUAUAACUCAAAUAGGUCUAAAAUGAGACCAGGGAUUAAGUCCUUAUAAUUGUCUGGUUGAAGUAUACAAGGUAUGGCAAGGAAAUUACAUUAAAGUGAGGAAACCAAAGGUUCUACCCCUGUGUUUCACGCCACAGGGAUAGAAAGAUGGUAUUAACCCCCAGAGAAACUUCUAUAUUACUUCAAUGGGAUAGCAGUUUAACGUUAAGGCCCCGUAACCGAAGGACGUUGAUAGCCUAGCGCCUACAAAAGGUUCAAAGUGCAAUUUAGAUACUACUGCCCGUUCUAACGGGGCUCCCUACGAAGUAAAAAAAAUAAAAUAAAGGUUUUAACCCGCUAGAGUCCACCCGGGUUCUGCCUUUGCAAUCCUACAUUCAGCAGCGGCGUUAGAAGGCUGAUGCCGCUGAAGAUUAAUAGAAAUCCUAAGGAAAUUCCUCAGUAUCCGCUCAACGAACAUACAACGGCCAACCUGGACUGUCGGACGGGGCCAGGACAGGAGCUCCGGACGGCUCGUGGCUCGCUGACGGCUCUGGUCACCAACGACACCUUCUGGAAUCGCGAGAAACAGCCUUGGGUCAAGGAUGGGUCGGUAAGGACAGCGAAGGCCUAGCUAACAUGUCUCAAGUGACGUGUCUUGAAUGGCCCCUGGGUAUUUCUAACCUAAAACCUACGGUCAAUCACUAAUCAAACGAUUAUGGGAAGGUUAGAUCUCGUCUCAAAGGCGGUAGCUUUGCUGUUUAAACGUGACACUUGCAAAAUAACCUAAUCGACACGUGGAAGGUCAUGGCGCUUACCUUGGGGUUGGGUCAGGUGACACGCGUCUGGCAAUCGCACGCUCCACCGGGCAGGAUUGAAAUUGCUGUAAAAGAAAUACGCGGGGUUAGACGUUGCUACGUGUAGAAAUAAAGACAAGGCAGAUGGCUUUCGAAAUCCAAAGUCAUCGGAAAUCGAAUAACAACGAAAUGCUAGUUUACUCACUCGGCAAUUCAGGUUAGGUACACAUGGUGUGAUGCUGCGUGGGUGUCUGUGGCACGUAUCUGGUAACUGCAAAGAAACAACUUAGUCAGAAUCUAUCUCGUAGACCAAUCAGAUAACCUGAACCCACGAUCGAAAUACUCACCAGGAAAUAUGAAGCAAGGAACUUGGUACCAAUACGGCCUGCGCCACGCGGGCGGGAAGAAAAA